CCUACGGGAGGCAGCAGUAAGGAAUAUUGGUCAAUGGACGAAAGUCUGAACCAGCCAUGCCGCGUGAAGGAUGAAGGCCCUCUGGGUUGUAAACUUCUUUUAUCUGGGACGAAAAAAGCUCAUUCUUGAGCACUUGACGGUACCAGAGGAAUAAGCACCGGCUAACUCCGUGCCAGCAGCCGCGGUAAUACGGGAGGGUGCAAGCGUUAUCCGGAUUCACGUUAGGGUUUAAAGGGUGCGUAGGGUGGGUCUGUAAGUCAGUGGUAGAAAUCUCCGAGCUUAACUCGGAAACUGCCAUUGAUACUAUAGGUCUUGAAUCAUCUGGAGGUAAGCGGAAUAUGUCAUGUAGCGGUGAAAUGCUUAGAUAUGACAUAGAACACCAAUUGCGAAGGCAGCUUACUACGGGUGUAUUGACACUGAGGCACGAAAGCGUGGGGAUCAAACAGGAUUAGAUACCCUGGUAGUCCACGCCCUAAACGAUGGAUACUCGACANCAGCGAUACUACUGUUGGUUGUCGUGAGACGAAGACGAGUUAAGUUACGUACCGUAACCGUACGGUAAGGUUACGACCGACGUUAAGGUUAGUAACGUUAACGAAGUUAGUAAGUUAGGUUACGGCGUUGAGACGUUCGACCGACGGACGACCGACGGAGGGGAGGUAGGAG
rnacentral:rRNA from 1 species